GUCAUGAAAUCGAGUAGGACGGGGCACGAGAAACCUUGUCUGAAUAUGGGGGGACCAUCCUCCAAGGCUAAAUACUACUGACUGACCGAUAGUGAACUAGUACCGUGAGGGAAAGGCGAAAAGAACCCCGGAGAGGGGAGUGAAAUAGAUCCUGAAACCGUAUGCGUACAAGCAGUGGGAGCCCACUUUGUUGGGUGACUGCGUACCUUUUGUAUAAUGGGUCAGCGACUUAUUUUCAGUGGCGAGCUUAACCGAAUAGGGGAGGCGUAGCGAAAGCGAGUCUUAAUAGGGCGUCUAGUCGCUGGGAAUAGACCCGAAACCGGGCGAUCUAUCCAUGGGCAGGUUGAAGGUUAGGUAACACUGACUGGAGGACCGAACCGACUACCGUUGAAAAGUUAGCGGAUGACCUGUGGAUCGGAGUGAAAGGCUAAUCAAGCUCGGAGAUAGCUGGUUCUCCUCGAAAGCUAUUUAGGUAGCGCCUCAUGUAUCACUGUAGGGGGUAGAGCACUGUUUCGGCUAGGGGGUCAUCCCGACUUACCAAACCGAUGCAAACUCCGAAUACCUACAAGUGCCGAGCAUGGGAGACACACGGCGGGUGCUAACGUCCGUCGUGAAAAGGGAAACAACCCAGACCGUCAGCUAAGGUCCCAAAGUCAUGGUUAAGUGGGAAACGAUGUGGGAAGGCUUAGACAGCUAGGAGGUUGGCUUAGAAGCAGCCACCCUUUAAAGAAAGCGUAAUAGCUCACUAGUCGAGUCGGCCUGCGCGGAAGAUGUAACGGGGCUCAAACCAUGCACCGAAGCUACGGGUAUCACUUAGGUGAUGCGGUAGAGGAGCGUUCUGUAAGCCUGUGAAGGUGAGUUGAGAAGCUUGCUGGAGGUAUCAGAAGUGCGAAUGCUGACAUGAGUAACGACAAUGGGUGUGAAAAACACCCACGCCGAAAGACCAAGGUUUCCUGCGCAACGUUAAUCGACGCAGGGUUAGUCGGUCCCUAAGGCGAGGCUGAAAAGCGUAGUCGAUGGAAAACAGGUUAAUAUUCCUGUACUUCUGGUUAUUGCGAUGGAGGGACGGAGAAGGCUAGGCCAGCUUGGCGUUGGUUGUCCAAGUUUAAGGUGGUAGGCUGGAAUCUUAGGUAAAUCCGGGAUUC
rnacentral:rRNA from 1 species